GACAGUCACUGUUCUUCUCCUAAAUCUAUUAACAGUGGUGUUCCUCAGCGUUCUGUCACCCACUCUCUUCUUAUUAUUCAUUAAUGAUCUUCUAAACCAAACUUCUUGUCUUAUCCACUCCUACGCUGAUGAUACCACCCUGCACUUUUCCACGUCUUUUCAUAGACGUCCAACCCUUCAGGAGAUAAACAUAUCACGCAGGGAAGCCACAGAACGCCUGACUUCUGAUCUUUCUAAAAUUUCUGAUUGGGGCAGAGCAAACUUGGUAUUGUUCAAUGCCUCAAAAAGUCAAUUCCUCCAUCUAUCAACUCGACACAAUCUUCCAGACAACUAUCCCCUCUUCUUCAAUGACACUCAACUGUCCCCCUCUUCUACACUGAACAUCCUCGGUCUGUCCUUUACUUAUAAUCUGAACUGGAAACUUCACAUCUCAUCUCUAGCUAAAACAGCUUCUAUGAAGUUAGGUGUUCUGAGACGUCUCCGCCAGUUUUUCUCACCCCCCCAGCUGCUAACUCUGUACAAGGGCCUUAUCCGUCCAUGUAUGGAGUAUGCUUCACAUGUCUGGGGGGGUUCCACUCAUACUGCUCUUCUAGACAGGGUGGAAUCAAAAGCUUUUCGUCUCAUCAACUCCUCUCCUCUAACUGACUGUCUUCAGCCUCUCUCACACCGCCGCAAUGUUGCAUCUCUAGCUGUCUUCUACCGCUAUUUUCAUGCUAACUGCUCUUCUGAUCUUGCUAACUGCAUGCCUCCCCUCCUUCCGCGGCCUCGCUGCACAAGACUUUCUUCUUUCUCUCACUCCUAUUCUGUCCACCUCUCUAACGCAAGAGUUAACCAGUAUUCUCAAUCAUUCAUCCCUUUCUCUGGUAAACUCUGGAACUCCUUGCCUGCUUCUGUAUUUCCACCUUCCUAUGACUUGAAUUCCUUCAAGAGGGAGGUUUCAAGACACUUAUCCACCAAUUUUUGACCACUGCUUUGACCCUUUUAAGGGACUGGCAUUUCAGUGGGCAUUUUUUUUUUAUUAGAUUUUUGUUGCCCUUGGCCAGUAUCCUUCCUACAUAAAAAAAAAAAAAAAAAAAAAAAAAAAAAAAAAUCAAUGUGAUUUUCAGACACACUUCAGUCACAAGAUGAAUGCAGUCAGCUACAGCAUGACAUAGACAAGCUAUAGACAGUUGAGAGAGGAAGAAGUCAGUGGCACCCUCACCUCAGACAAGACAAAGCUAACAAUUGAUAAUGAAAGACACACUUCAGUCACAAGAUGAAUGCAGUCAGCUACAGCAUGACAUAGACAAGCUAUAGACAGUUGAGAGAGGAAGAAGUCAGUGGCACCCUCACCUCAGACAAGACAAAGCUAACAAUUGAUAAUGAAAGACACACUUCAGUCACAAGAUGAAUGCAGUCAGCUACAGCAUGACAUAGACAAGCUAUAGACAGUUGAGAGAGGAAGAAGUCAGUGGCACCCUCACCUCAGACAAGACAAAGCUAACAAUUGAUAAUGAAAGACACACUUCAGUCACAAGAUGAAUGCAGUCAGCUACAGCAUGACAUAGACAAGCUAUAGACAGUUGAGAGAGGAAGAAGUCAGUGGCACCCUCACCUCAGACAAGACAAAGCUAACAAUUGAUAAUGAAAGGUGACAUUAUUCUCUUUAAAGGACUCUAUUAUUAUUGUACCCAUGAAAGCUGUUC